AUGAAACUUAAAAGAGUCAAAGAAGAAGAAGAUUAUCUUGAAGAUGCAGAGAAAGAGGCGAACUCCAUAGCAACGCUCACAGCCUGAGACAGUACUUCCUCAGAUUCAAGCUCUCUUCCAAUCACAUCCAUGAGGGUUGAUUUUGGUGACCUGACAGAACAUGCUGCCAGUCUAGCCUGCAUCAGACCUCGGUGGAGACUGGGCAUGAUAAGAGAUAGUGGAAUACAUUCUCUGAUUGACGAUGGUAACGGAGGCAGGCAGGAAAGACUUGGGCUAAAUUGGAAUGGAUUUUCAUCAUGGUAGAUCAUAUGGAUUAGCUUGGAUCGCUUAGUGGAUGUUGGGUGCAAGUUGGGUUUGCUCGGGUUGAGUUGAUACGGAGAGAUUGUUUCGUUUGAUUGGUGGAAUUUUUGUUUGGAGGAGGAUUAAUCAAGCUUGGGUCCAUUCCUUUUGCUGAAAAAAGUCAAGUGUUGGAAAACCUAAGUAUGGAUAUGGGUCUUAAAUUCGGAUAGACAUUGUAUAACACUAUGUGAAAAUUUAGGUUAAUUGCCUUUAAGAUAUGAUUGAAUGAAAAAUGGUGUAUGUUGAUGAUGGAUUAUGUGUUAGUAUGAUUUUAUGCAUUGAAUUGUUUGGUGUGUAAUAUGUGUUGAUUUGAAUGAAAUUAGAUAUGAGAUUGUGGAUUUAUUGCCUAUUAUGGUAAUAUGUGUGAAAAUUGGAUCGAAAGCUGUGAUAGGAUGAGAUAUUCUCCUAUUUGGUAAGUUAUAGGAAGUUGGGCAAUUGUCAUGUUAUGAUUUAUUGAGAAAUUGGUGAGAUUUGAUUGAAUAAGAGCAUUGUUGGUAUUGAUUUGGAUGAAAAACUUAAGAUGUGAUAAAUUGAAUUAGAGUUAGGCCUUUGAUGGAUUGGAUUGGUUCAUUAGAUUUUAAAUGGCUAGGGAGUGAAUGGAAAUUGGUAGCUGUGUAAAAGUGAUGCCUAGAAUUGGUUUGGAUGGUAUUGGAAUGGAAUGAAUUGAGAAAAUUGGUAAAUGAGCGUUGUACAUAAAAUUGGUAAAUUGUGGUUUUCAACCAAUUUCGAUGGUCAUAACUUGAUGUUCAGAAUUUAGAAUUGAGUGAUAUUUAUCUCAAAUUAAAGCUAGUGAAAAAGACCUUUAAAAUAUAUAAAAUUUAAGAAAAAUGAAUAAGUGCACAAAAAGUUAUAGAGAUUGAAUUUUGGAAUUUAAAAACUAAAUUCUGCAGAAGUUGCAGAAAAUUGGGGUGAUGCGUACACACGAUCUAUGUGUACACAUGAGUAUUACAAAAGUGAAAUAGUUUUGUACGCAUACCAUGCGUGCGCACAAAAGCCAAAUCAUGCGUACACACAACACAUGCAUACGUACGAGUUGCAUUUUAAAAUUGAACAAUUUUCAUGUGCAUUUCUGCGCGUACGCACCAAAAUGGAUUCGUGCGUAUGCAUGUGUACACACGAGGCAUGCGUACGCACAACUGUCAUGUUUUUCAGAAAACAUUGAUUUUAACUAGUUUUGCCUAUUCAAUUGCUUUUUUAACUCUAUAACCCUCGUUUAAGAUCCGAGAACUAAUUUUUAGGCUUUGGAAAGAGUAAGAGUAUAUUAAAGGCAUUAAAUUGAAUUAUUUUUUGAUAAAUGUUUGAUUAAACUGGAUGACAUGUUGUAAGGAUGGUGACUUUAUCUCGUCCACAGUGAAGACGGAAAUUUUAUUCCACUCACAUGUUAAAGAAAUUGGAGAAUCGAUACAUGAAUGGGAGUUUAGGAUUCAAAUUAAUGAAAUGGAUAAAUAAUUGGGGUUGAUGAGUUAAAUCACUUAUAAAAUUACUUAAGAACACCGAUAAUGAUUGAUUAUGGCCUGAAUGGCUGGAUUGGCAAGGUUUGGGUGAUAUCCCACUUGUAUAUUGACUGAAUAUUUGUUUGUAGUAAGGUCUGGGUGUUAUUCCACUGGCGUACUGAUUUGUUAUUACUUUGGCACCUGCACGGUAAGGAUUGAGGUCUCAUCCCACUUGUUUCAUGGUUGCAGUGUAGUUAUGGAGACGAAAAUUUUAUCCCACCCGUUGUGAGGACGGCGGUGUUAUCUUGCUCACGUGACGAAGGAAUUGGUAAAUUGAAUGAGAAUGUGGUUAAUGAAUUUAAUGAUUUCAAAAGCCGAUUAAAGACUUUACUGUGAAUUGAUGUUUUCUCGUAGCAAGGACGAUGGUAAAUCCCGCUUGCACAUUGAGCUAAGUUAUGCUUGGGCAAAGACGAUGAUUAAUCCCGCUUGUUCGUGAUUUUCUGUGUAAGGACGGUAGUUAAUCCUGCUUGCUCGAGAUUUACUGCAAUGGCAAGGACGGCGGUUAAUCCCACUUGCACAUUAACUGAUAUUUGUUUCGGACAAAGACGAUUGGUUAAUUCCGCUUGUUCGAAGUACCGGUAAGGAUGGUGGGGAAUUCCACUUACUCGUGGACUAAUAUAAUAGGCAAGGAUGGUCAUUAAUCCCGCUUGUGUGUUCUGGACAAAGACGGUUGGUGAAUUUCGCUUGCUUGUGGAACCUACGAGUAAGGACAGUUGACACUUACUCAUGUUUGGUUCUGACAAUAAAACUGACACGUGAGCUCAUGGCCAAUAGAAUAGACAUACAUCAUUUGUAUUAUGUGUAUUGAUUAGGUGCGCAUCUUAUUUUUGGUUUGUCUUGUUGAAUACUUAUAUCUAUAUAUUAUUUGAGUUAAUUAUCUUAUUUAUUCUCUCUACUUAUGUAUUUUUUUGUAUUGUUUUAUGUGUUUGAACAAUUGAAAAGUUUUUUAUAUUGACGAUGGUGAGUUAAAAGUUAUUCGGUUACUUUUUUAAGUUUAGUUAAAUUAUAUUAUUUUAAAUAUUAUAUAUAUUUUUUUAUUUUUAAAAAUCGUAAUAUCUCAUCAUUUCUAAAUCACAAAUAUAAUUUAAGAUUUUAUAUAAUAGAGUGGUACAUAUACUAAAGGCCUUACGUCAUAUCUAGCACAGGGAAUUGUUUGAUGCUUUAUACAUCAGUAGUUAGAUUUAAAGUUGUCAUGCUAAUUAUUAUGUCGACAAGUUGACUAAUGAUUUGAUUCUAAAUCUUUAAAUAUAAAAAAUUUAAUAUUAUAUUAUAAAAUUAUUUAUUUUAACAUAUAAACUAUCAAACAAAGAGAUAUAUAAAUAAUUAUAUAUAUUAAAAAUUAUGUAAAAACAUUAUUAUUAUUAUUAUUAUUAUUAUUAUUAUUAUUAUUAUUAUUAUUCAGCGAUAAACUCUAAAUUUUAAUAAUUAUUGUUAUGUAGUAUUAGAAAGAAAGAAGAAAAAUGCAGGGACUAUAUAAUUUUACUAUUUGGACUUUUGGAAAUUAAUUAAAUUGAUAAAUCUCCACAAUUUAAUAUAAAAGAAAACAUCAAUUAGCUAGCAUGAUUAGUCAUUUAUUAAAGCAUCAUUUUUUUAAGGUUUUAAUAUAAAAUAUAUCGAAACUAAGUUUCUGAGAAAUGUCUUUGUUCAAUACAAGCAUGUCCAUUUUAAAGUUUUAUAAAGUGGUCCGUCCAAAGAACUCACUAGAAAAAUAUUAGAAUUUUCAGUUAGUUGCAACAUUUUCUGCACAUGAGAAUUGCGUGUCUUUUUAUGUGACAUUGCAUGUCUUGUUAUAUAUAUUUAUCUUGGCAGUAUUGAAUUCAUCAUACUUUGUCUUGACCUCAUUAUUGUUCAGCGCCAUUGAUUGCUGUUCAAUAAUAUAAUUAUAGGUGUGUUAAUUACAGCCACACAAACACUUCAAUAAUUAGGGAAAACCUUAUCUUGUUGAAUUGCAUGGCAAGCUUGGGCCUUCUACUCAGGAUUCUCAUAUGCCACUUUUUAUCUUUGAUGCUAAUUAAUCGGUGUUAAAAUAUAUUAUUAUAAAAGAACAAUGGAGAACGUGACUUUACUGGUGCUAGACUUGAGUGCUCAACUAAACGGGUGACAAGUUUCUAGCAUUUUGAUAAAUGACAACGAACCACGCUAUUAUUGCUACUUAACAUGUGACAUUGUUAAACAAAAACCGUGAUAGAAUGAGAGACAGGACAAUAAACUGGAUAUUAGUAUUAGGUUUUAUUGUCUCUCUAUCUUUCUGUCUUUCUGAUUCUUAUGAUACCAUAUAUCAACAAAAAAUAAUAUUUAUGUAAUAAAAUCAACUAUUAAAAUUAGUUAUUUUAUAUUUAUAUAUAUUAUAAAAUUUAAUUUAUUUUUAAUAUAUAUUUUAUAUUUAAUAUAUAUUUUAUUUAGUAGUUAAUUUUGGUGUAUAUUUUAAAUAGUUGUAGUAUCAAAUAUAUCCACAUGCUACUUUUAUAUCUAAUGGAAGAAACGCUAUUUUUAGAGGAUUCUUAGGACUGAUUGUUAAAGAUGAAGAGAAUGACAACUGUUCAGGUUCAACGUUGUCGGUGAUCUGAUGGUAGUUUUAUUUGUAGAAUAAUACUAUUUCUUAUUAUAUUUUUUAAAAUUAUCUUUUAAUAAUAUAGAUUUUUUUUAUCUAUUCUUAAGUUUUGUCAAUUAUUUUUAAAAUUAUGUAUAAAAAAAUUUGUAAAUAACAGCAAUACAUAUAGCGUUUUUCUUUGUUCUACACUAUUUAAUUUGUGUUCUAUUGCUACUUAUUUGUGAUCUGAUUUUUAAUUUGCGUUUUUCUUUGUUUUUCCCUUCCUAUU